rnacentral:rRNA from 1 species
UAGGGAAUCUUCCACAAUGGACGAAAGUCUGAUGGAGCAACGCCGCGUGAGUGAAGAAGGUUUUCGGAUCGUAAAGCUCUGUUGUUGGUGAAGAAGGGUAGAGGCAGUAACUGGUCUUUAUUUGACGGUAAUCAACCAGAAAGUCACGGCUAACUACGUGCCAGCAGCCGCGGUAAUACGUAGGUGGCAAGCGUUGUCCGGAUUUAUUGGGCGUAAAGCGAGCGCAGGCGGAAUGAUAAGUCUGAUGUGAAAGCCCACGGCUCAACCGUGGAACUGCAUCGGAAACUGUCAUUCUUGAGUGCAGAAGAGGAGAGUGGAACUCCAUGUGUAGCGGUGGAAUGCGUAGAUAUAUGGAAGAACACCAGUGGCGAAGGCGGCUCUCUGGUCUGCAACUGACGCUGAGGCUCGAAAGCAUGGGUAGCGAACAGGAUUAGAUACCCUGGUAGUCCAUGCCGUAAACGAUGAGCGCUAGGUGUUGGGGACUUUCCGGUCCUCAGUGCCGCAGCAAACGCAUUAAGCGCUCCGCCUGGGGAGUACGACCGCAAGGUUGAAAC